GUAGUCCACGCCCUAAACGAUGAAUACUCGAUGUUGGCGAUAUACAGUCAGCGUCUAAGGGAAACCGUUAAGUAUUCCACCUGGGGAGUACGUCCGCAAGGAUGAAACUCAAAGAAAUUGGCGGGGGUCCGCACAAGCGGUGGAUUAUGUGGUUUAAUUCGAUGAUACGCGAGGAACCUUACCAGGGCUAGAAUGUAAUUGGAAUAUAGAGGAAACUUUAUAGCUAGCAAUAGCCGGUUACAAGGUGCUGCAUGGUUGUCGUCAGCUCGUGCCGUGAGGUGUUGGGUUAAGUCCCGCAACGAGCGCAACCCCUAUCGUUAGUUACCAUCAUUAAGUUGGGGACUCUAGCGACACUGCCCGUGCAAACGGAGA
rnacentral:rRNA from 1 species